rnacentral:ncRNA from 1 species
UCUUAUCAAGAGCAGGUGGAGGGACUAGCCCGAUGAAGCCCGGCAACCGACAAUCCUUGGCAGGAUUGCACGGUGCUAAUUCUUGCAGAAGCGCAAGCUUCUGGUAGAUGAGA